AGUGGGUUGGCCAAGUGGUAAGGCAUCUCUCUCACACAGGACCUACAAACUCGUUACACCGAGUCUGUAGGUUCAGAACAGAGAAAAUCGUGGGUUCGACCCCCACACUCACUA